CCACUGCUGAGGAGUCCCGUGCUAGGACGAAACAGCCGUCCAGUGC
rnacentral:hammerhead_ribozyme from 1 species